rnacentral:rRNA from 1 species
UACGUAGGUGGCAAGCGUUGUCCGGAAUUAUUGGGCGUAAAGCGCGCGCAGGCGGUCCUUUAAGUCUGAUGUGAAAGCCCACGGCUCAACCGUGGAGGGUCAUUGGAAACUGGGGGACUUGAGUGCAGAAGAGGAAAGUGGAAUUCCAAGUGUAGCGGUGAAAUGCGUAGAGAUUUGGAGGAACACCAGUGGCGAAGGCGACUUUCUGGUCUGUAACUGACGCUGAGGCGCGAAAGCGUGGGGAGCAAAC